GGGGGGGGGGGGGGGGGGGCGGGAGGGGGGCGGGGCGGGGGGGGGGGCCCGGCGUUGGGGGGGUGCGCGGGGGGCGAGCGGGUGAGUACCACGUGCGUAACGUGCCCUUGGCUUUGUGGUAACGUCCGGACACUGGGGCGACUAGCUGAUAGGAGCUCCUGCGGCCUGUUUGGGGUUGGAAAUUUGCGGCGGUUGGGGAUGGACUCGCGGCUUAUCAGCUUGUUGGUGGGGUAUGGGCUUACCAAGGCUUUGACGGGUCGCCGGCCGGAGAGGGUGACCGGCCACAUUGGGACUGAGAUACGGCCCAGACUCCUACGGGAGGCAGCAGUGGGGAAUAUUGCACAAUGGGCGGAAGCCUGAUGCAGCAACGCCGCGUGCGGGAUGACGGCCUUCGGGGUGUAAACCGCUUUCGCCUGUGACGAAGCGUGAGUGAUGGUAAUGGGUAAAGAAGCACCGGCUAACUACGUG
rnacentral:rRNA from 1 species